AGAAAUAAAAUGUUCAGCUCUCUGCCAAUGAAAGGUGUUGAACAGGUGGGUGCACUCUGGCCAGAGGGCAUUCAGCUCCACAAGUGAUGUCUGGAUUGCAUUUAAAUCCUUUCCCUGUUACAUCUGCCUCUCCCUUCUUUGCCUCUGGAGCUCUGCAGCCUUCUCUGGAUGCUGUUUCAGGCAAACAGCACGUGAAACAAGCCUGCAGCUGUGACUCCUCAGGCAUCGUAUGCACAACGAGGACAUUCAUGCAGCCGGACGAAAUUGGAAACGGCACACUGAAGCAGGAAGAUUUCUGGUUCGCCAGAGAUGUUUUGCUUUCCUCCUUCUUGCCUGUCCUGAAAUUUAAGAAGUUCCUGGUGUGAGCAAAGGACUGAUCUUUUGGAAGGGACAGAUGUGGAGUGUUAUUUAUUUGUAGGCUUGAAGGCCUUUGAUACCAUUUUGUGGCAGAACAUUUUCAUUUUUAUCUCCUUGACCUGGGUUUUUUUCCUUUUUGUGUGUGUUUUGAGUAUAAACAAUGUUACGCAUUCUCAAGUAUAACUAAUAACUCUUGA
rnacentral:lncRNA from 1 species